CUCAACUUAAAUUCUUAAUUCCAAAUAGAGAAAUAAAAUUUAAACAAUGGACAAGAGGUAUGCAUAACUGGGACAUCUUGGUAAGGCUUGGCUAAUCACUGUCUUGGUUCUUCAAGGUCACCCAAAGAACACCCUAUUGUCUGAAGGGGCUGCUUCUGUUGUGGCUGGAAUCAAAGACUGGGACAACGACAUCUCUGCUUUAACAAGUUCAUGUAAAGAACCACGUACCAUCCAAAGGCCCGGGGAAGAAAUUACAGGUAAAGAACAAGCCCAAGCUGAUAAAUUCGUCAGAAAGUAUAUCCUAAAGUGAACCAUUCAUCUCACCUGCUAUGCAAGACUUCAACUGCUCAAGUCUGGCCACUGUGAUCCAGAGCCUCCUCAUGGCUGCCUGAGGAAGACAAUCGCCUCCUGUUUGCCUUUGGAACAAGACGUAGAACUUGCAGCUCCUCCAGCACCAUGUCUGACUGCACAGUGCCCUGCUUCCUGCCAUGAUGAUAAUGGACUGAACUUCUGAAACUGUAAGCCAGCACCAAUGAAAUGUUUUUUCUUUAUAAGAAUUGCCUUAGCUGGGCGUGGUAGCACACGCCUUUAAUCCCAGCACUUGGGAGGCAGAGG
rnacentral:lncRNA from 1 species